UUGCAUCAAAAGAUUCUCCCUUUUUUUUUCGCUGGAAAAGAGUGUGCUAGCAGAAAAAAUUAUGUUGAAAAUGGAGGAAAAGGGUUUGUCCAGUACUUUUGCUAUGAACUAUUACUACAAAAUAGGCCAGAUCCAAUCACAAAAUAUCAGUAAUUUAAAAUCGAAGUAAACUAUUAAGUAAAAUAUGGAUAAAUGCGUACAAAAAUCAGAGAUUUGAGAGGAAAGUUGCUUUUACCUUACAGAAUCUCAGAGAAAAGUUGGAUCUUGGUCGGGGAAAUUAGGGCUAGGGUUUCGGAAGCGUCUGCAGAAAAAAUGUUAGGACCAAAAUAGGAAAAACAAAAAUCGACGUGAGAGCAGAGAGUGAUAGGGUUUUGUGAUAUACUGCUCGAAAGGUAAAUUUCACAAAUUUUAGAAAUGCUAUCAGUCUUAACACUUCAAACGUUCAAGGAACUACUUAACCAUUUCAUCAAAAGAGGCGAUAAUAUUACUGGUGUUUUUG
rnacentral:lncRNA from 1 species